rnacentral:rRNA from 1 species
GACGAACGCUGGCGGCGUGCCUAAUACAUGCAAGUAGGACGCAGUUGCGAACGGGUGAGUAACGCGUAGGUAACUACCUAUUAGAGGGGGAUAACUAUUGGAAACGAUAGCUAAUACCGCAUACUAGUAGAUGGACCUGCGUUGUAUUUGCUAGUAGGUAGGGUAAUGGCCUACCUAGGCAACGAUACAUAGCCGACCUGGGAGGGGUGUCGGCCAAACUGGGACGUGAACACGGCCCAGACUCCUUCCGGAGGCAGCAGGAGGGAAUCUUCGGCAAUGGGGGGAACCCUGGACGAGCAACGCCGCGGGAGUGAAGAAGGUUUUCGGAGCGUAAAGCUCUGUUGUUAAGGAAGCGUUACUUAACCAGAAAGGGACGGCUAACUACGUGCCAGCAGCCGCGGUAAUAC